GCUCUGCACAUUUGGUGCGAUUGCAACUAGAGUGGGUAACAGCUAGGACGUAUCAUUUCAUCUUUUCCGAGAUUUAUGCUUAUUACUUAAUCCCAAAAGACUUCAUUAAUCAACCUCAUUUGUUUUUAUAUUUUUUUUCCCUUUUUUUGUUUUUAUUUUUAUUUUUUAUUUUUGUCUUUUGGAGAAAUGUUAUUACAUUCUUUUAAAGGGGCCAAAGUCUUCGGAUUUUCGGCCUAGACCCAAGCGAAACGAAGCUCU
rnacentral:lncRNA from 1 species